GACAAGUUAUUUGAAUUCAAAUUUGAAAUACAAAUAAAAGCUACAGCAGAUUGUAAAGAGGGUGAAAAAGAGAGAAAGGAAGAAUAAAAACCCUAUCCUGUGACACAAUGUCAUUCACUUAUUGUCACAACACCAUUCAAAUGACACAUAAUAGGGCUACCAUAUAUGGUAUGAGGGAUUUUUCCCUUUCACUCGUUUAGUAUUAUAUAAGAGGCGACUGAAGCGAUCCAAGCACUGAAUACACUUUAUCUAUUGGGGUAGCAGACCAUUCCCUGGACUACAGCUGCGCGAGACUAGCAAGAGUAUGCAUCAGUGGUGCCUACUUAUAAUGUUGCUGAGAAGAAUAAGAGCUUUAGCGGAGCAAGUGGCAGCUCCUCCUCGAGCUCCAAUGCAAGUAACCGCUGGAAGAGCAGCAACCUCACCCGCCGUUAUUGUUGCUGGUGGUAUUCUCUGGUACAAGAGGGACCCGCCACCAGAUGUUCACUGUCAGUUCUUAGUGCAAUCUGAACAAGAGACCAGCUACUGUUAUAGAAAAUGUGAAAUGGUUGGAUCUCAUUCUCAGCACAGCAAAGUACCCAAAAACUGUGUUGUCUAGCUGCUUGAUCACUGACUGGAAGCCGGGCCACCAACUGUUGCAUUACUUUCACUGCACAAAUAUAUACAUGCACAUGCAACAAUGUGACAAUUAACACUCAAUAUGCAUACACAAGUAAAUUCUAAUCCUUUAAUUUGUAUCAAAUGUAUUGUGUCUAUUUUUGUUUCCAAUAAUGCUGAUCAUUUCUCCAAA